AUCAAAACAGUAGAGACAAAAACUGAAACAUGCCUGGGGUGCAGGAGAGAACAAGAAAGACUAUUUAGCGAAGUAGGCUAAUAGUGGUGUGGAGGAAGGGGGUUGAUUUUCACAUCUGAGAACUGUUGAGCCUGCAAAUAUUACUGAAAUCACAUCUGGGAACAAAGCUCUGCUUUAAGUAAGUUCACCCAUGAGUGUUGCUAAGCAAUGGAGAAAAGAAGAGUGACAGGGAGAGUGCCUGACUUUAGGAUUAGGAGGAUAGAGAGAAGAUAAAAAAGUAAGAUUUCUACACAGCCUUAUUUAUAUGAACUUUCAAGUUCUUUGUUUCUAUUGCUUGUCUUCCAAACUAUUUGUACCAUGAUUAAUCAUAUCUGGUUCAGUAUCUAUACCAAUGCACACCCAGCACAGAGAGGUGCUGCAUCCUGGAGCACUGGCACAAGCACUUGGGCACCAGCACUGUCAACAUCUGUCUCUGGAUUAAACAGCAAGGAAGGAGAGAAGAAAUCUUCCCUAUCAGCUGCAGCAGGGGUUGCUGCAGGAAGAUGAUAAUUCCCUCCUGCUACUCCGCUGACAACCACCGAGCUGCACAGGAGGAGGAAGGCAUUUUAAUCAUGGAAUUGAAAAACACAGCAGUUUCUAAAGCUUCACCUCACCUUGGUUGAUUUACAUUAAUUUAGGAUCAACUGGCUGUCGGUGGAAUUAUGUUACAUAUGGAAGAUAACAGAAGGAAAAAUUUGGCAUCAUUUCUAGUUUGGCUGUCCAUUAGAGAACGCAUGUCUAUGUAUAUAAACAGUUUUGGAGAAUCUCAGAUAAGCAUAAUGAAUCCCUUAAAAGCACAGUUCAAACUUGAGGGCUCCCUAAUUCCAUAGUAAGUAUCUUAUAAAUGCCAGACUUUAAAAAAAAACCAAAACCUUAACAAUUAGCAAGUCAGGGUCCAAUCCAGUGUCCACUGAAGCCAUCAGAAAACCUGUGACAAAGGCCUAGAAGAUUCGACUCUGGCUCUUUCAUCAGAUUAUCAUUAUAACAAAGGCACCCCAUAAGGGGCUGUUAGAGAAAUGCAAAUCUUGUGUCAAAGACAGUCAGACACCCCCAAAAUUAAAAAUUUGAGCACACAGCAGCUUACAUGCAGCAGCUUUGGGCAUGUGGCACAACAUCUGCUACAAAAACACUAGAAAGCAGACCUGCAGCAAACUGGACCACUGCCAGCUCUCAAGAUUAUUCUUUUUUCCCCCCUGACAAGGCUGUCAAGUAAAUGGACAGAUGGCAGCCGAUGCACUCACUGGAUAGUUAGCUCAGUUAACAAUCAAGUAUGCUAGAUGAUUUCAGAUUCACUCUGCAGCAAGCAUUGUAUUUUCUAUUGAACCAUUAACACUGUGUCCUAAUAGGAAUAUAGUUUGGUAUUAAGAAACUGGCAGAUUUUGUAUUUUACAAGACAGUUUCUCUGGAACAAUUUGUCAGGGAACAUUAGAUCUGCCGUCAUGAAUAAAGUGAGAACCUGCCAAGUUUACCAGGCUGGUUUGUUCAUAAUUUUAACUCGACAGUGUUUGAAGAACGAGGAUGGAAACAAACGCUAAGAUGCAGGUCAGCUAUCCACACAAGCUGCUCCCAGGGAUGCAGUCAGCUAAAAGCAGGGUAGAUGUUAAGAGCACGCAGGAUAUUGCAGCUGUACUGCCUUGCCCUGCAGUAGGACAUGGCACUGAGCUCUCCCAGACAGGACAACUCUCACCAUCAGCCUCCUGGGUGACACUUAUCACCUCAGUGCACAGAUACGAGGAUUCAUCCCAGAAAAACUAAUAGUUCUUGGGUUAAAAUGGGUGCAAUCUGUAAACAAAGAUUUGGCCCUCAUACCCCAAGGGGGCAAAUACCUCAGUACUGAGCACUAGCACACAGCGUACAGGCGGACUUUUGGCCCCAGCAUUACAAAACGCAUCUUUUAAUUCUUCCUCUUUAUGACUAUGUCUUUAACAACAUGACUCUAGACUAGGUGACAAUGUUACUCAAUUGGUUUUCUUUUCCACAAAUUAGCAGGACAUGAAUAAUCUUUGAAAAAAGUGAAAUAUAUUGUUCUAUCUUUUAAUUCUCCUCCCUUCACCUUUUGUUCCAGUUGCAUAUCCAUUUUAUCCAUCCACCGAAAGUCCCAUACCAUUAAGCAGGUGGCCAAAGGGGUAAUUAAAUAUAAUAGAAGCUAUUCAUCCCAUAUUUGGCUCCCACAACCAUUUUAUUCAUCAAUGUUGCACCUACUAAGUACCCCGAGAAAAUAGACACCACACCUUUUCUGCCCGCAUUAUAGAAAUCCUUUAGCAGAAAAAGGGUUGAGGGGAGAACGCAAGAAAAAUAAGCAGAAGACUAGGACAAGGAAGAGAGCUCUCUCAAAGGAAGCAGGAGUUGUGGCAUGGAUACAGGUGAAGCCAGCACCUCAUAUUUCUUAUCUGUUGGUUCAGUUGCAAAAAGUAGGACUGAAGCAAACUGAAAAAAGCAAAGCAUUUCUAGUGGGCAAUCAACAAAUUAUGGUUUACACAGUCAGGUGUCAACUGCAGAACAGCAGAUUCUGACUGGUGCUGUGAAAGUCUUGCACUUUGGACCCACACUCUGAGCUCUCCAAAAGCAUAGACCUUAUCCCACUCCAAGUGCUGAACCAAGAGAAGCUGCAUUGCGUGUUACAACGAUCUGGAAAACUCCCACCGCCUGCCUGUGGUCAGUCUGUGGACAUCACACAGACCUGCCAUGGACAUCACACAGACCUGCCAUGGACAUCACACAGACCUGCCAUGGACAUCACACAGACCUGCCACUCACUUUCCCUUUCUGCUAUGACACUGGUUCUUCAGAGAUGUUUACAGAGUAUCACUACAGUUAUACCAGGAAAAUCAGCAACAGCAGCCAAGAACUUAUAUGCCCUGCUCUUCCAAUUCAGACAUGGAAAAGCAUCACAGAAACUUCAGGAGAACAGGAUCAAGAACUCCGCCAUCACACUGAGCUCCUUAGCAGCCCACUCUCUGCAGCUUUCCUCUCUCUUGAGAAGGAGACAGUGUUGUGACUACCAGUGUGAAAUCACCACAGCAGGGAAGUCAGAGAUGCAAUUUAAAAAAAUAAAGUGCAAACCAGUCAAAAAUGGAGACAGAAGCAACCUCAUCUUCUGGCUCAACUUUAUGAAAAUCUGAUUAGACCUUAGCAAAAUUUAAUCUUUGCCUUCCAGGCCUUCUGAGACAACAAUAAAGAUCUUCUGAGGUCAUAAAGUAUCAAGAGAGGAGAGACACCACUCCACUAUAGGAAAAUAGUUGAGGAAAAUUGUUUUUCUUGGCACUAUUCACUUGGUAAAUCUGCAAAAAAUGUUAUUAAAAAUUGAAUGAUAAAAAGCUACACAUCACUAUUUUUAAAAUACAAAAAUACACUUUAUCAGAUAGAAAGUAAUAAAAUAACAUGAAAAAGACAAGACAAAUUAGCUACAGCAAUAAUUAGGAAUGCCAGACAUUUAGAAGAGAGUAUCUGUUUAAAUUGCUAAGACAGCCAAGAGACAGAAAAUUGGACUCCCAGCAGUCCUGCAGUGGUAACAUUUCUUUUUCCUUUUUGUUCCUAUCAUAGAUCUACAGCAAAAACAAAAUCUACCAGAUACAUUUUUCUAUUAUCAACCCUUCCCCAGAACAAUUUUGCUUCAAAACCACUCAUUAGGCUGGAAUUGGCAAAACCCAAGUCCCAGUCUUUUUCUCAGCCACAGAGGCCACAUUUCCUUCUUCUUCCCUGUCUCCUUGUGGUAGCUGUUCCUACACUGCCUCACGGGAAAGAAAGAAAAGGGAAUUUUUUGACUUUCCUCAAAACCUUUUUGCUUUCACAGACAGAUAACACAUGGUGCCUUAGCCCCAAAGAGGCUACACUGAAUGCUGCUGCCUGGAUGUCCUUCAGCCAUUUGCAGAUCGACAGAAAGCUUUCACUGGGGGAAGGGCUGUUGGUCGGGUGUCAUUCCCAUCUGUCAGCUCAGCAGCAGCAACGGUACCAAACGAAGUCUUUCUGCUCAUUCAGCAUCUGUGGUUUAAUAUUUGCCAAGGGUUUGAUCUUGGCCUCUUGGUUUGUGCCUACAGUACCCAGGAUUCCCUGGUGGUCUCCCAGUCAAACAUUAGCCUACUUUAGGACUGCUGAGCCUGCAGAAUCAAUCUGCCAUAAGCCAUGUUUUGUUGACACAGUGUAUACUAACAAACCCUGCACACUGAUGGUUUCUUAGACUCUUCCAAUUCUCUGCUUACAGUCCAGUAAGAUCAGGUUUUGCAGUUUUUGGGAAAGAAAGCAAGCAAUUCUUAUCAAAAUACAGCAAUCUGGGAAAUUAAAAAAGGAAAAACAAAUAUGAACAGGUGGAAAAAUUGUAUUUGUUUCCUCUACUUAUCUAAUAUAUCAGCUCAUGAGACCAAUUUAUCUUCACCCUAUAUCAUGCCAGACAAAGUGGUAUCUAUUUUUUAUAUCCAGAAAGCUUCAUAAAAAAAAAAAUAUAAUUUUAGGGCCAAUCCAAUGGAUGUGCAGAUCUAAAGUAACUGAAGAUGAUGUACACAAAUUAGGUAAAGUUAAAAACUAGAGGAUGGUUAUAUAUAUAUCAUCUAGGGGUUCAACUUCAUUUUUACAUGCAUUGUUUCCCCCCAAAUGCUUAUUAUUGCCUAUAGAAUCCUUCACUUAGUAAUUCCACAAUUCAUACAGUCAUGCAACAAAAACAUGGUUAUGUUGCAGAUGGUUAUACAGCAGAAUUUCUGUAGAAUAAAGUUAACUGGUUAAAAUCCUAUUUUAAUCAUGCAACUAAAAAAAUCCACAGUAAUAUUGUAAAAUUCAUCUAUGCAGAAAGCUAGAAAACUGGAAUGAAUAUGGUAGUUUGAUCUCUUACUGUACAGAUGUACAAUAAUUCUCAAUCUGUUCUUGCCUGGGCAGGUAAGGGGCUGUGUACUAUUCAAGAUUAAUUAGAAAAAACACGUGUUCCUCAUGAAUGAUGUCAUGUCUAGUAAUAUACAUAAAUUAAUUCAUGUCAGCAUUGGCCAUGUUGUGUCAUGAUUAUAUCUUUUUUAGGUAAAGGAUGUUUUUUUAAAAAUUAUUUUUUGCUACAGAUUGCCUAUGAAUUUUACAAUCUUUGUAAAGAGAUUUUAUAAAAAUAAAAUUAUCAGACAAGAACAA